AACGAACGCUGGCGGCAUGCCUAACACAUGCAAGUCGAACGAGACCUUCGGGUCUAGUGGCGCUCGGGUGCGUAACGCGUGGGAACCUGCCCUUAGGUUCGGAAUAACUCCCCGAAAGGGGUGCUAAUACCGGAUAAUGUCCUCGGACCAAAGAUUAAUCGCGUUUGGAAGGGCCCGCGUUGGUUUCGCUAGUUGGGAGGGGAAAAGCCUACCAAGGCGACGCUCCAUAGCUGGUCUCAGAGGGUGGUCAGCCACACGUGGACUAAGACACGGCCCAGAAUCCUACAGGAGGCAGCCGUGGCUAAUCUUGGACAAUGGGCGAAAGCCUGAACCAGCAAGGCCGCGUGAGCGAUGAAGGCCUUAGGGAUGUACAGCUCUUUUACCCGGGAUGAUAAUGACAGUACCGAGAGAAUAAGCUCCGGCUAACUUCGUG
rnacentral:rRNA from 1 species